UUGCUGGGGGAUUAGUGGCGAACGGGUGAGUAACACGUGAGUAACCUGCCCUUGACUCUGGGAUAAGCCUGGGAAACCGGGUCUAAUACUGGAUAUGACCUUCUGGCGCAUGCCAUGUUGGUGGAAAGCUUUAUUGCGGUUUUGGAUGGACUCGCGGCCUAUCAGCUUGUUGGUGGGGUAAUGGCCUACCAAGGCGACGACGGGUAGCCGGCCUGAGAGGGUGGACGGCCACACUGGGACUGAGACACGGCCCAGACUCCUACGGGAGGCAGCAGUGGGGAAUAUUGCACAAUGGGCGCAAGCCUGAUGCAGCGACGCCGCGUGGGGGAUGAAGGCCUUCGGGUUGUAAACCUCUUUCAGUAGGGAAGAAGCGAAAGUGACGGUACCUGCAGAAGAAGCGCCGGCUAACUACGUGCCAGCAGCCGCGG
rnacentral:rRNA from 1 species